rnacentral:rRNA from 1 species
UACGGGGGGAGCAAGCGUUGUUCGGAUUUACUGGGCGUAAAGGGCGCGUAGGCGGUCAGCACAAGUCAGUUGUGAAAUCUCCGAGCUUAACUCGGAAAGGUCAACUGAUACUGUGCGACUAGAGUGCGGAAGGGGCAACUGGAAUUCUUGGUGUAGCGGUGAAAUGCGUAGAUAUCAAGAGGAACACCUGCGGCGAAGGCGGGUUGCUGGGCUGACACUGACGCUGAGGCGCGAAAGCCAGGGGAGCAAACGGG